rfam:Chlorocebus sabaeus isolate 1994-021 chromosome 21, whole genome shotgun sequence.
UUAAAGGCCCUACUAAGGGCCAAGUUACUCACACUGUACAUCUUUA